rnacentral:rRNA from 1 species
CAAUAGCGUAUAUUAAAGUUGUUGCAGUUAAAAAGCUCGUAGUUGGAUUUCUGGUGGGAGCGAUCGGUCUGGCGCUUAGCGCGAGUACUUGCAUCGUCUCCGGCCAUCCUUGGGGAGAGUCUGUCUGGCAUUAAGUUGUCGGGCAGAGGAUCCUCAUCGUUUACUGUGAAAAAAUUAGAGUGUUCAAAGCAGGCUUAUGCCGUUGAAUAUAUUAGCAUGGAAUAAUAAGAUAGGACUUUGGUGCUAUUUUGUUGGUUGAGCCUAAAGUAAUGAUUAAUAGGGAUAGUUGGGGGCACCUGUAUUGCGUUGUCAGAGGUGAAAUUCUUGGAUUUACGCAAGACAAACAGCUGCGAAAGCGUCUGCCAAGGAUGUUUUCAUUAA